AUAGUUCAUCAUCAUGCAUGGCUCUCUGCCACCGACAUUAUUGGGUUCUCCUGUGAGCCAGUUCCUGUAGUCAAAUCUGGAGCCACACUCGGUUCUGUGGGGAAGAAGUGGGCUCAGUGUCAAAUAAACAUAACCAUAGAAUACAAAACAAUCAAAUUGUUGCCAGUAGAUAAUACAUAGGUAAACAUGCUCUAAUGUAGGCCUACAGUAGAAUACUGUUUUUAAUAUUUCCCAAACUUAGAUCUGACAUCGUUGAUGAUCACUCUACCUGAACAGCGUCAAAUCCUCCAAUCCAGGCAGGGGUAAAGUCUUCUGUCUGUAGUAUGAUCAACUCUUGCACGAAAUGAUACUCUUCAGAGCUGUGGAUGGAGGCAAGGUUUGCUCCGAAGUGCACACAGUACCGCUAGAGAGAGAGAGGAUAGGAACGGAGGACAGAAUAUAAUAUCACUUAGAUUCUAUAAUGGAUGUUUUUUUUUAACAUACUUGUGUUCUUGCCACAUGGAUGCUUUUCAAUGUAUAAUCCAGUGUGGAACUGCAGCACUGUGAUCGGUGAUACCUGGUGUAUACCUAUAUUAUCAGUCUAAUGUGUCUAAAGCCAACAAAUGUAAAGGAUGCAACAGGUUCAAAUGCACCUCAGCAUUCAUCCACGUCUUGCCGGAACGCACAAACAUGAAACACCGUGCCCCGUACUUGAGCCAGCCAGGUGGGCAAGAGUCCCUGCUCCACCUCUCUGCCUUCACCACCUCUGAAUGAGACAAGAUAUGAUCAGAACAAACUCAUUGAAGCCUAACAUUACCAACUUACAAAACUGAAAGCACUGUGUUGAUCAACUGGCUUAUGUAGAGGAAGGAAAUCGGAUUUCUUCUUGCACCAGGUUUCAACAAUCAGUGUUGUAGUUCCACACUUUCAAAAGCUAUUACAAGUUGCUCAUUCAUUGAAGACGGCGUAACAUCAUCAAGCACUUACCAGCAGAAGCCCAUCGUCCUCAGCGGCAGCAGGGCAAUGUUGACCAUAUCUCUUCUGCUCUGUGCGGCCGUUGCUCUGAGUAGCGCAGCAGGCAAGACACAGUAAGACACACAGAGGCCCUACCUUCACUCUUUUAUUGUGACAGUUCUUGUUUCAGAACCUUUAUUGGAGGGAAACAUGGAGCAAACCCCCCCUAUUGGUGAGUGUGUUAUUUAUCAGGGAAUACCUAGUAGUGGCAGAAUGGACAACAUGAGCUUCCCAUGUCUUUCCCUCCAUAUGGUUCCAUUUCAGUGAGGAUAUGGAUGAUGAGGGAAACACCUUUAAACAGAACCCACCUCUUGAAAGCCUUGAGGAGAUGAUGGACUUUGAGCAGACAUUGCCUCUGCAACAAUUAUGGAUUGGCCAAAUUCAAAACAGGUGCAGACUUGGUAAAUGCACACACCAAGUCAAGGGGGUGUGGCUUUCUCCAGCAAAGGAUAAGAUCUAACAAAAAUAAACAUCCAA